AUGCCCUCGUCUGUCCGCAGCCCCAGGGCGAGCACCUCCUCCAGCCUGCGGGCACAUGGAGAGAUGCAGAGAGCGCAGCACGAGGGGAGUAAGGAAGGUGGGGGGGCCAUGGUCCUGUACUCACUGCUCCAGCGGGCUCAGCAUCACCCGCUUCCCGGUGCCAUGCCCCCGGCUCUGCACCGCCCGCAUCCAGGCGAUGGGCUCCAGCAUCUGGACGCGGGCCUCCCGGCUGCAGCCACCCUCGCCCCGCGGUACAAACCGCCCGUGUGCCCCUGCAGUGGCAGAGAGGGGGCAGUGGAGCUUGGGGAGGCACACACAGCCAUGUACAGCCCCAGUCACCCCUGCUUACCAGGCCCCACACCGAUGUACUGCUCAGCCCGCCAGCAGGAGAGGUUGUGGGUGCUGAGGGCGCCCUGUGGGGGAGCGUUGUAUGGAGCGAUGGGGCUGAGCCUGCUGCAGGGGCGGCACAGCAUGGGGGGGGUAGCAUGGAGGGCACCCCACCUUCCUUGCAAAGUUGGAGACCUCGUAGUGCCGGAAGCCAGCAGCCACCAGCAUGGCGCGUGCUGCCUGGUACAUGUCAGCCAGGAGGUCCUGGGGGGGGCGCAGGCAGGGCUCCCCCCCACACCUGUGCUGCCAGCACUGUGCCCCGCUCCAGCGUCAGCUGGUACAGGGAGACGUGGUCAUCGCAGAGCCGCAGCGCUGCCUCCAGCCCCUGGGUCCAGGCAUGGAGGCUCUGCCGCGGCAGCCCGAAGAGCAGGUCCAUGGAGGUCCGGCCGGGGAAGAGCCCCCGCGCUGCCUCCACUGCCGCCUGAGCCUCCGCUGCCGUGUGCUCCCGGCCCAGCAGCCGCAGCUCAACAUCAUCCAGUGACUGCAGAGAGAGCGCAGUGGCAGUGGGGAGCAGAGGGGGGCUGCAGGGGAUGGGAUGGGGAGAGCAGCUCGCACCUGCACGCCGAUGGACAGGCGGUUGACGCCGGCUGCCUUGAAGCCAGCGAGGCGCUGUGUGGUGGUGGAGCUGGGGUUGGCUUCCAGCGUGACCUCAGCACCAGCAGGGAGAUGGGCAGCCCCUGCCACAGCCUCCAGCACCGCUGCGAUGGUGCCAGGGCUGGCCAGGCUGGGGGUGCCCCCACCGAAGAACACAGAGGUGAUGCUGUAGGGCAGAUAAUGGGGAGGCUGCGGGUGGGCACUGAAGGGCUCUGUGUCCCCCCAUUGUCCCCAUGCACCCACCUCUUCACCCGGCUGAGCCGGAGCAGGGUGCGUGCCUCCCGCACCAGGCAGGCGCGCACGGCCGCCUCGUCCACCGCCGGCACCACGUAUGCGUUGAAGUUGCAGUAG
rnacentral:lncRNA from 1 species